UUUCAGGUUAAAUUUUGGGGAAGCAUAUCUUUCAACGGACCCAGAGAAAAUCAAGUCAAUAGGAUCCGGCCAGGAGCUUAACUAUCCUUCCUGCAUCCUCAUAUUGUUCUCUUGUAUUACAGUAUUUAAUCCUUGAAAUAGGAUCCGGCCAGGAGCUUAACUAUCCUUCCUGCAUCCUCAUAUUGUUCUCUUGUAUUACAGUAUUUAAUCCUUGAAAUAGGAUCCGGCCAGGAGCUUAACUAUCCUUCCGGCAUCCUCAUAUUGUUCUCCUGUAUUACAGUAUUUAAUCCUUGAAAUAAAUAUCAGCAUUUAG